AGCAGGACUCAAGUUUGACGGAGCUGUCAAGCUCCCAAAGCAGAUUGAAUGGAGUGAUCGCUGCUCGCCGCCGCCAUCCCCCCGCCGCAGACGGGCGCCGAGCCGCAACCGUGCUUCUUCCCCUCUGCUCCUCGCCACGCUCCUCGAGCUCCUCCGCGGCACGACGGCCCUGCAGCCGUAGCCGACGUCCCCAAGAAGGUGCUGCUGUUAUGAUCUGAAAAUUAGGAUUUUCACUUACCAGCUCAGGAGCUGAUUAUCAACCAAGUCAUUUGGCCAGCUUGUCCCAUAGCUGUACAGACUUGAGGCUUGUCUGAUCUGUGAGGUGUGUUGUAAGGAUGUUCUUUACAUUAAACUGACUAAAGGCAGAGGCAAGCAGAGGAACAUGCAGUGCCCACGGGGGCAUGACGGACAUCACCUGUGUCACACAGCUCAUCUGCAGAGCUGAUGUAGGCUCUGUUUAUGCCCCUAAUCCUGGGAUGGGAACACAGGGAAGUCUCCUAAUUGUAUGUGAUUUCCUUGGGUGCCACCUCUCAGAUCCAGGACAAGGAUGUGACUGGGGACAUUGAGACCAAUCUAUAUCUUGGGACUGUCCUAGCCUUGCUAGCAGGAGCUAGUGCAGGAUACUCAGGCAUCCUGCUCAGUGGAGACACCUGUGACACACAGGCUUUGGAGAGGACAGAUAUUUCAAUGUCUUAUUCUGGGGGCAAGACCACUCUCCUCCCACUUCUUCUCUUUCCAUCCUCUCGAAUUCCCACAGCACUUU